ACUGCCUGUAGUUUUUGUAGUCACUUUCUUGAAUUCCACCUGGGUUUCUUCUCUCCAUAGCUAUUAUCAGUAUCUGGAAUUUUCUUCCGUAUUAAUUUACAUUUCUCUUGACCAUCUCCAUUCCCUGCAUACUCCCCACCCCAACACACAAAGAGCGGGAAGCUUGUCGGUGUUGUUCACUGCCCCAUCUCUAACACUUCAGACAAUGCCUAGUGCUCAAUAAAGAUUUCAGUGACUGGCCCUUCGUUUUACAGAUGUGAAAAACUAAGACACAGAGCUGUUAAAAGAUCUAAUGACAGAGCUCAGAACGGAACACAGGUCUCCUACUUCUAGACGCAUGUUUUUGAGGAGAUCCGUAGAUCAGCGUCUCUCCUGGUCAGGACCAUGGAGGCCUUCUGCCCGCUGUGUGAAGCUUCGCUGGAUGCCAGCUUCGAAAGCCAAAGUACCUAGGCAAUGCUUGGCAUAAACAGGGGGAGAAUAAAUAAGAAGAAAGAGGUACAAAGAAGGAGUCAGAAAGAAAAGGAAAGAAGGAAAUCAAAAUAGGAAAGAGAAAAGGUGGGAAAGAGAAACAAAAGAGAAAAAUGAGAGAGAAGAAAAGACAGCCAAAAAAGAAACAGGUGAGAAAAAUACAUAGGGACAACUAAAAUAUUUUAUAGAUGAGAAAAAGAGUUGAAGAAUUUUUAAGAUACUCAUAACUGAAAUAGUGCCUAUUCAUGCGAUGCAAAUCAUCAGGAAUGUUUCAUUUAUAGUUAUUUCAAUGAUUUGCACUUAAUUCCUAUUAAGUUUCCUCCUGCCUUUCAUCCUUGUCUCAAUUUCUUUUGCUUUUACGGAGUGAAUCAAUCAGCAGGUGGAUUUCCCACAUACAGUCAAUGGACCAUUACUGCUAGUAGACUCAUGUGGGCUCAUGGUCCCCUCUAGCUCAUACGGGCAUCGCUCAAGUUUCCAAGCUGUCCUCAGUCCUGGUGCAGAAAGAAACCGCUUCCCAUUCCAGCCAACAUUUUUCCUAUGCUAUUUGAAUUCACACUUUAAAUAACACGAGUUAAUAAGAGUAUUGAACAACUUGGUCAGUACCAAGGGGCUAACACUGCUAUUAUUUGCUAAAGGCAAUAUAAUUUGAUCUGGUACAUUUCCAUUUACUUAACUAUAGAUCCUUAUUCUCAGUACCGAAUAUAAAUAUCUUCUUGCCUGCCGGGAACAGUUUUUUGAAAAGAUGUUAUUUUUAUCUAUUUGAAUAACUCGGGAAAAGAAUAUAGAUCAUCACCUCAGAUUUAAAAAAAAAAGAAAAAGGGAAAAGUUUUAUUUUCAUGAGCCCACUGACCACAUCAUUUACUAGUGUUGGCAAGGGUGCAGCACCUCAUAAGCAAAAAUAGCCCUGCUGUCACCCUCAAGAGGUUAUGUUUUAUAUCCAGCACAUUUGAGGAGUGUUGCUUAUUACAGCUUGGUAAAU
rnacentral:lncRNA from 1 species